UACGAAGGGUGCGAGCGUUGUUCGGAAUUACUGGGCGUAAAGGGUUCGUAGGCGGGAAGAUAAGUUGAGUGUGAAAACCCUGGGCUCAACCUGGGACGUGCACUCAAAACUGUCUUUCUUGAGUAUCGGAGAGGGUGGUGGAAUUGCUGGUGUAGGAGUGACAUCCGUAGAGAUCAGCAGGAACACCGGAGGCGAAAGCGACCGCCUGGCCGAAUACUGACGCUGAGGAACGAAAGCGUGGGGAGCAAACAGG
rnacentral:rRNA from 1 species